AAAAAGCAAAGUUAGUCAAGUGAGGGGAAGAAGGCUGAGCUUCAGUACAAAACGCGUCACGGCUAACGAAACGCCUAGGAGUGACAGGGUGGUGUAACCCCAAAGUUCUCCCUAUGAUAAAUUUCAACGAGAAGGAAACAAAGCCUGUCUGCACAAGUCCCACAGCGCGGAGAGCUGAAUUUGAACUACGCAUCCGAAGCCAGGGCACGAGCAAAGUCACGAAGUUUACUGGACUUUGACGACACCGCAUGCCACCCCCAAAUACAGCUGUACAAACCUACCGAAGAGAAUGCAUUUGCACAAUCCAGAGUUCAGUUUAUCAGGAAGAAACCUCAUCAUCAGUGAUAACAUCCAACAUGAAACGAAGACAACCAGAUUCUUAGAUCACAGCUGGCAGAAAAAUUAAGAACCUAACAGGAAAACACUGCCACGGUGAGAUUCCCUACUUCUCUGCCACUUCUAAGGCACUGGUCAUAUCAGCGUAACAGCCUGAUGCUACUACAUAAGAACAUUACUGAUGUAUUCUCGUUCCAGUAGAACCCGGCACUGCAAAUGGCUAAACUAGAAACCAGUUUUAGAUGCCUCCAAGAAACACAGAUUUCUACUUUAGAUACUUUGGUAUGCUGCUUACUUAAAACAGUAUUAUCAAAGCACCACUACUACCUGCUAACGCACCAAUUACUCUCUGAGCUGCAACAUGAGAUGGAAUUACUAAAGACUGCUUCAGCUAACCUAAUCUACAGGAUUUAUUUCUUCCUUUAAGAAGCUUAAUCACAAAAUAUAUUUGUCAAUUUGUCAAUGCAUCUUCAUUUGAAGCUAAAGCAACCAGUGACCAUGAUAAGUUUCAUUCUGUGAUAAACAGAAGCAAAACAGUUUUGUUCUUCUGGGUUUCCAGCUCAGUAACAGUUAAGCAUUGUUACGCAGUGACAAAGAGUAAAAUAUCUGUAAAUAAAAUAACAUUGUUCAAAUUUAAUAAGAAAACAGUUUUCAAAUGAAACUGUCACCGAAGACUUUUGUUGAUUUUUGGACAUAAUUUUAAAUCUUGUCUUUCUUGCAGAUAUAGGUUAAUAUGAAAUGACCAAACUAUUUCAAACAGAAUUAACAGUACCUCUUGUGCAAAGAAAGCUCACUAAAAAUCCAGUUUUGAGUAUUUUUGGGAAGUCCCUUGGAAAGUUUCUGUUUGAGUCCUGAAAAGAACGAGAUAAGUACAUAGCUCCUGGCUGUGCAGUACACCUUGUAAAGAGACAUUAGCUCCUUUUAGGUCUUUAAGGGGGAGAAAAACAUAAAAGGGAAGGAGAGGGUGUCAUAAUAUUUUACAACAGGAUGCAAGAGAAUCUACAAACACAGGAAGAAAGCAAAGCCCAGCAGGCCCGAUCUUUCUCCUUCAAUCACCAUGAUCACAAACCCUAUCAAUCACGUCGCACUGGGAUCACAAUACCAAGAGCACAUUUUAUGGCUUACAUUUCCCUGCAUUGCACAGUUACCCCUGUAUAGGACCCUUAUUGUUUUAAGAUCAGGGCAGGAAGUUCCACUUGCUUUCUUAAGGUUCGCUGGCUCCAUCAUUUUCUUGUCACCUGGAGCAUUGUUCACUAAUGCACCAUAUAUCAUGACAAAUAUUUUUUAAAGCUAGGUUUAAAAUUCUUGGCAGCAAAGGAACCAUCUAAACUUUAAAAACUAGAAGGCAUGCUUCAUUUUGGAACAGCUACUAAUCAAGCUGCUCUGAAAGCAUAAUUCAAAAGCCUGUUUUAAAAGAAUUUACAACUCUAUAAAAUCGUAGCACACUGAAUUUGAAUGUAGCCAGGAUUUAAAUUUAGACCAAAGUCCAACCACAUUAUUACAAGUUAAAUAUUACCUCUGUAUUGUGUAAAUCAGAUCUUUCCUUACAAAAUUUUGUUAAAAAGAAUGCACUCUCUGAAAGCCCAGCUCUGUAUUUAUAAACCAAUACUUAAUAUUUAUCUAACAGGAUAAGAAGCAAGUCAUUCGAGUUGAAUUAGCUAGAUCCAAUAUAUGACCUACUUGGUAUUUUCUUUAUUGUUUAACUUUCCAGGUUAUUUCCUCAAAUAUAUACAUCUACUCAAAUAUUCAGGAUGUACUUGCAUAAAUCUUAGUUCUAGGCUAAUUUACAACUAUCCAGAAUUUGCAAAAAAUGAGGAGUAAGAAGGGAAGAUGGGUGAAGAAGAAGGGGUAUUUCAUAUUAAAAUAGCUAAAAAAAUAGUUUGAGGUUUGCUAUCAUUACAUAGAUGGGCAAACAGAGUCAUGAAACUUAAGUUUAACUUCUUAAGACUACACAGUGGCAUAAAUCUAAAUAGUGUUUCUGGAAAAAAAGUUUAGCCAGACAGUUUUAUCUAUUUAGGAUUUUUAACCUGUAUAGGAUAAAAUUUCCAUCCGUUGUUUAAAAAAAUCUAUUAAAUACAAGAUGAAAAUCUACAAGAAAAACAGCAUCAUAGGGAAGUCUAUUAACUGUGCCUAAUGGCUCCAUGUUUUACACGUCAUUAGCAGCUGGGGUGUAUUAUUAGUAUCAAUUCACAGUGGACAACAAAGUCAUUAAACUGAAUGUUACGUGGACAUUCUGAAUACAGUAGGACAUAACCUUAUAUUAGCUAUGUACUAAUGUGGGCUUACCAUAAACAUUUUAUGAAAAAAUUGUUAAUAUAAACAGCCACUAUGUUAUUCAUAAAUUAUUAUUUCAUAAAAAGUAAACAUUUGUACUUUAAGAAAAAUAAAAGACCUUAAAGUGACACAUCAGUUGACUGCAAUGGUUAUUACUAUGAAUUAUUAAUCAGGGUAUUCGAAGAACACUUAUUGGAAAAAUCUGAGUUUUCAUUUUCAGUAGUGGUAAAGGUGAUUGACUGCCAUAACCAAAGGAAGAAGCAGAUUAUUCAUUUUUUGCAAUUUAUGAAAGUAUUAAAAACCAAACAACCCACAGCUGCGGCUUUUAUUAUCUUUCACAAGAGCGUGUGGCAAGCCCUAAGAAAAAAUUUGUCUACUACCUCAUUUGAUUGGUGCUUUCCCCCUGCAAAAUGGAAGCAAUUUAUUUUCAAAGUCAUCUUUCUCAAGAAGCCCCUCAAAUCCACAUAUAAAAAGAGGUAUCAGGAUAUCGAGAUUCUCAACAGAAGAAGCAUCUCUACACACCAAGUGAUCUCCAUACACCAAGCCCAUGUGAUUUCUGCUGUCACUGAUUAGACCUAUAGAACAAGAAGGGUAAACCUGGGUAAACCCAGAAAAGAACAUCCUCUUUUCUUUUUGCUAAAUUAAGUUCAAGCAGUCAACUGAACUUUAAUUUAAACUUUCGCUAUAGAUCCUGUAGUAAAAUCAAUUGUUCACUGUUUAUUUAACAGGAAGACAACCAACUGGAAAAUGUGGCAGGCAUUGAGGCUUGUGUUAAAAAGCAGCGGGUCCCCCCCCCUUUUUUUUUUCUUUUUAAAUACACACACAUUUUAAGAGAGAAAUAGACAUAAAAAGAUGAAAUAAUCAUCCAAUCUAAUUCUGACAUUUCCUGCUGGACUUACUUAAGAAGAACUACAACUUGAUUAAAAGAACAUAAAAACUGAUAUUUCCAGAGUAUUCCACGGUUUUUCAGUGACCUGAAAGUGCUUUGUGGAAAAUAAACCUUAGAAACGCCGAGUAUUGAGAUGGAAAUGGUGUUAUCACUAGCCUUCACACUAGGCACUAUUAAGUCAGGAAGAUGCCUCCUUUUGAGCCCAGUGAGGUUCUGAAACAAGGCCAGGGUUUCCAGGUUGUCUUUUAACAACCUUUUCAAACAACAGUUGGACUGCUGUCAGAAAUGCUGGACAAAUCGAACACGAGUAUUUUACUUGUUAUGCUGGGGGUGAAACCCCCAGAUGGAUUUGGCAGCACCAGGAGAUGCCGACCAAGGAGGGAAGACGCCACAGCGUUCAGCUGCAUUUCAACAUAUUGUGACUCAACAGCUACUGCAAGAGGCUGCAGGGACUGUGAAGCUGCAGCUGUAUGGUAUGUCAUUAGAGGAAGCAGUAAGAGCUGAAUACCUUUUUCUCACAAAUUCUGGAAAAGACGCACGAGGGGACCACAAAACAAAGCACACAAAAAGCACUAGAGACUAAAACAGUCGAAAGGAAAAGAGAAAAAUA